rnacentral:rRNA from 1 species
AUUGAACGCUGGCGGCAUGCCUUACACAUGCAAGUCGAACGGUAACAGGUCUUCGGAUGCUGACGAGUGGCGAACGGGUGAGUAAUACAUCGGAACGUGCCCGAGAGUGGGGGAUAACGAAGCGAAAGCUUUGCUAAUACCGCAUACGAUCUCAGGAUGAAAGCAGGGGACCGCAAGGCCUUGCGCCCACGGAGCGGCCGAUGGCAGAUUAGGUAGUUGGUGGGAUAAAAGCUUACCAAGCCGACGAUCUGUAGCUGGUCUGCGAGGACGACCAGCCACACUGGGACUGGGAAACGGCCCAGACUCCUACGGGAGGCAGCAGUGGGGAAUUUUGGACAAUGGGCGCAAGCCUGAUCCAGCCAUGCCGCGUGCAGGAUGAAGGCCUUCGGGUUGUAAACUGCUUUUGUACGGAACGAAAAGACUCUGGUUAAUACCUGGGGUCCAUGACGGUACCGUAAGAAUAAGCACCGGCUAACUACGUGCCAGCCGCCGCAGUAACAC